rnacentral:lncRNA from 1 species
AUUAUUAAUGACAAAGUCAAGUUGAUUUAUAGAAUAUUUUUAAAGAUAAUUAGUUUAAUGAGUAAAAUAAUUCAAAAGUCUAAUAUAUAUACAUAAGUUAACCAUGAGCCUAUUCUGCUGUUAUCUUAUGUAUUCAGUUUGGUUAACGCAUACAAAAUACGCUCAACUCCUGGCUGAACAAAUUUGAAUGUACGCGGAUUAUUUUCUUAUUUUCUUUGAUUUUUGCACACAAAUUAAUUUUCAAAUAUAAGCGUGUUGAGACUCGUGUAUACUGUAAUCAGAGACAUGUUUGACAGUUCGGUAUCACUGAAUCGCAAUUUUUAAAACCGAAGAGAUGAAUUUUUCUCUCUACAAUAAGUAUGUCCUUAUUUGCGUUGUAUGUAAAUGGUCUAAUAAUCGAAUAUUGAUCAUCUUAACGGUCGAACAGAUUUCUCAUUUCGAUAAUUAUUACAUAGGGUAUAUGUAUAUAUAUACAUAUCUUAAUCAUCCAAUAAAAUUGAUAAAAGCUGUAAAAAUAGUAACCAGGGAGGUGUCAUGUUAUGUGAAAAUAGAGCAAACAAUCCAAGCGCCAUUGGAAAAGUUAAGCUAUAACGUGAACUUUGCUCCAGCAUCAUCUAAAUACCAUGGCAUUGACUAGAAUUUUCCUCACCAGCACCUAAAUACCAUAGCAAACUUAAAUUAACCCAUUAGUUAACAUUUUUUCUUAAGUUUCAUUCAUGCACAUGAAAUUUGCACGAAUGGAGAUAUAACAAUAAGUGUUCUUUAAAGAUUUUUAAAGAAUAUUUUGCACAUAAGGGUAGGUAAUGGAAUAAGUUAUAUAAUUCAAGAAUAUCGCAGAGUAUUCAAGCACUCAAAAUAAAAGGACUUUUAUUCGAAUUUAGUUAUUAUGGAUCCUUCUAUCAACUAGGAAGGCUUAAAUUUAGAUUAUUAUUAUUAUGGUUUGAGAUAAUAAUUCUAUGAUGGAUGGUGGUGCCUUCAAACAUGACGUCAUCAGAUAUGCGAAAUAUCAUUGGGAUAACAAUUCUGGAAUUAGUCACAGGUUUCCAAAAAUGGCGUCGUUUUGCAUCAACACGACAACACUGUGACGGUAACAGUAUCGACAUCGAAAAAUAGUAUCAUGUAUGACGUGCAGUGAUGAUAUCAGAAAUAUACGACGUCACGAGACAUGACAGUCGAUAUGAUUGUCAGUAUACAUUGGAGGUAUUGAAUAAAGUAGAAAUAAAUUUCAUAUAAUAAGUUACAGAAAUAAAUUUAAUGUCAAAUGAACUGCACAUAAAAUAGUAUGUCAAAAAUAAAAAUUUUAAAUCCUAAUUUAAUUAAAAUUUUAAUGAUCACACAGUAAAGCAUUAAAAUAUCUGGAGGCACGGCAGUGCCGCCGCCAAGUCGAG